rnacentral:rRNA from 1 species
UUGACCUCGGAUCAGGUAGGAAUACCCGCUGAACUUAAGCAUAUCAAUAAGCGGAGGAAAAGAAACCAACAGGGAUUGCCCCAGUAACGGCGAGUGAAGCGGCAACAGCUCAAAUUUGAAAUCUGGCCCUUUCGGGUCCGAGUUGUAAUUUGUAGAGGAUGCUUUUGGCAAGGCGCCGCCCGAGUUCCCUGGAACGGGACGCCACAGAGGGUGAGAGCCCCGUCUGGCUGGCCGCCGAGCCUCUGUAAAGCUCCUUCGACGAGUCGAGUAGUUUGGGAAUGCUGCUCAAAAUGGGAGGUAUAUGUCUUCUAAAGCUAAAUAUUGGCCAGAGACCGAUAGCGCACAAGUAGAGUGAUCGAAAGAUGAAAAGCACCUUGAAAAGAGGGUUAAAUAGUACGUGAAAUUGUUGAAAGGGAAGCGCUUGUGACCAGACUUGGGCGCGGCGGAUCAUCCGGGGUUCUCCCCGGUGCACUUCGCCGCGUCCAGGCCAGCAUCAGUUCGUCGCGGGGGAAAAAGGCUUCGGGAACGUGGCUCCCCUGGGAGUGUUAUAGCCCGUUGCGUAAUACCCUGCGGUGGACUGAGGACC